rnacentral:rRNA from 1 species
GAUGAACGCUGGCGGCGUGCCUAAUACAUGCAAGUCGAACGCUUCACUUCGGUGAAGAGUGGCGAACGGGUGAGUAAUACAUAAGUAACCUGGCAUCUACAGGGGGAUAACUGAUGGAAACGUCAGCUAAGACCGCAUAGGUGUAGAGAUCGCAUGAACUCUAUAUGAAAAGUGCUACGGGACUGGUAGAUGAUGGACUUAUGGCGCAUUAGCUUGUUGGUAGGGUAACGGCCUACCAAGGCGACGAUGCGUAGCCGACCUGAGAGGGUGACCGGCCACACUGGGACUGAGACACGGCCCAGACUCCUACGGGAGGCAGCAGUAGGGAAUUUUCGGCAAUGGGGGAAACCCUGACCGAGCAACGCCGCGUGAAGGAAGAAGUAAUUCGUUAUGUAAACUUCUGUCAUAGAGGAAGAACGGUGGAUAUAGGGAAUGAUAUCCAAGUGACGUUACUCUAUAAGAAAGCCACGGCUAACUACGUG